rnacentral:rRNA from 1 species
ACGAACGCUGGCGGCGUGCCUAAUACAUGCAAGUCGAACGCUUCUUUUUCCACCGGAGCUUGCUCCACCGGAAAAAGAGGAGUGGCGAACGGGUGAGUAACACGUGGGUAACCUGCCCAUCAGAAGGGGAUAACACUUGGAAACAGGUGCUAAUACCGUAUAACAAUCGAAACCGCAUGGUUUUGAUUUGAAAGGCGCUUUCGGGUGUCGCUGAUGGAUGGACCCGCGGUGCAUUAGCUAGUUGGUGAGGUAACGGCUCACCAAGGCGACGAUGCAUAGCCGACCUGAGAGGGUGAUCGGCCACAUUGGGACUGAGACACGGCCCAAACUCCUACGGGAGGCAGCAGUAGGGAAUCUUCGGCAAUGGACGAAAGUCUGACCGAGCAACGCCGCGUGAGUGAAGAAGGUUUUCGGAUCGUAAAACUCUGUUGUUAGAGAAGAACAAGGAUGAGAGUAACUGUUCAUCCCUUGACGGUAUCUAACCAGAAAGCCACGGCUAACUACGUGCCAGCAGCCGCGGUAAUACGUAGGUGGCAAGCGUUGUCCGGAUUUAUUGGGCGUAAAGCGAGCGCAGGCGGUUUCUUAAGUCUGAUGUGAAAGCCCCCGGCUCAACCGGGGAGGGUCAUUGGAAACUGGGAGACUUGAGUGCAGAAGAGGAGAGUGGAAUUCCAUGUGUAGCGGUGAAAUGCGUAGAUAUAUGGAGGAACACCAGUGGCGAAGGCGGCUGUCUGGUCUGUAACUGACGCUGAGGCUCGAAAGCGUGGGGAGCAAACAGGAUUAGAUACCCUGGUAGUCCACGCCGUAAACGAUGAGUGCUAAGUGUUGGAGGGUUUCCGCCCUUCAGUGCUGCAGCUAACGCAUUAAGCACUCCGCCUGGGGAGUACGACCGCAAGGUUGAAACUCAAAGGAAUUGACGGGGGCCCGCACAAGCGGUGGAGCAUGUGGUUUAAUUCGAUGCAACGCGAAGAACCUUACCAGGUCUUGACAUCCUUUGACCACUCUAGAGAUAGAGCUUUCCCUUCGGGGACAAAGUGACAGGUGGUGCAUGGUUGUCGUCAGCUCGUGUCGUGAGAUGUUGGGUUAAGUCCCGCAACGAGCGCAACCCUUAUUGUUAGUUGCCAUCAUUUAGUUGGGCACUCUAGCAAGACUGCCGGUGACAAACCGGAGGAAGGUGGGGAUGACGUCAAAUCAUCAUGCCCCUUAUGACCUGGGCUACACACGUGCUACAAUGGGAAGUACAACGAGUCGCAAAGUCGCGAGGCUAAGCUAAUCUCUUAAAGCUUCUCUCAGUUCGGAUUGUAGGCUGCAACUCGCCUACAUGAAGCCGGAAUCGCUAGUAAUCGCGGAUCAGCACGCCGCGGUGAAUACGUUCCCGGGCCUUGUACACACCGCCCGUCACACCACGAGAGUUUGUAACACCCGAAGUCGGUGAGGUAACCUUUUGGAGCCAGCCGCCUAAGGUGGGAUAGAUGAUUGGGGUG